UACGUAGGGUGCAAGCGUUGUCCGGAAUUAUUGGGCGUAAAGAGCUCGUAGGCGGUUUGUCACGUCGGAUGUGAAACCCUGAGGCUCAACCUCAGGCCUGCAUUCGAUACGGGCAGACUAGAAUUCGGCAGGGGAGACUGGAAUUCCUGGUGUAGCGGUGAAAUGCGCAGAUAUCAGGAGGAACACCGGUGGCGAAGGCGGGUCUCUGGGCCGAUAUUGACGCUGAGGAGCGAAAGCCAGGGGAGCAAACGGG
rnacentral:rRNA from 1 species